rnacentral:rRNA from 1 species
UACGAAGGGUACAAACGUUAUUCGGAAUUACUGGGCGUAAAGGGCUCGUAGGCGGCCAACUAAGUCGGACGUGAAAUCCCUCGGCUUAACCGGGGAACUGCGUCCGAUACUGGAUGGCUUGAGUUUGGGAGAGGGAUGCGGAAUUCCAGGUGUAGCGGUGAAAUGCGUAGAUAUCUGGAGGAACACCGGUGGCGAAGGCGGCAUCCUGGACCAACACUGACGCUGAGGAGCGAAAGCCAGGGGAGCAAACGGG